UACGGAGGAUCCAAGCGUUAUCCGGAUUUAUUGGGUUUAAAGGGUGCGUAGGUGGCCUGUUAAGUCAGGGGUGAAAGACGGUAGCUUAACUAUCGCAGUGCCUUUGAUACUGACAGGCUUGAAUACACUUGAGGUAGGCGGAAUGUGACAAGUAGCGGUGAAAUGCAUAGAUAUGUCACAGAACACCAAUUGCGAAGGCAGCUUACUAAAGUGUUAUUGACACUGAGGCACGAAAGCGUGGGGAUCAAACAGG
rnacentral:rRNA from 1 species